rnacentral:rRNA from 1 species
ACGGGUGAGUAAUGUCUGGGGAUCUGCCCGAUAGAGGGGGAUAACCACUGGAAACGGUGGCUAAUACCGCAUAACGUCGCAAGACCAAAGAGGGGGACCUUCGGGCCUCUCACUAUCGGAUGAACCCAGAUGGGAUUAGCUAGUAGGCGGGGUAAUGGCCCACCUAGGCGACGAUCCCUAGCUGGUCUGAGAGGAUGACCAGCCACACUGGAACUGAGACACGGUCCAGACUCCUACGGGAGGCAGCAGUGGGGAAUAUUGCACAACGGGCGCAAGCCUGAUGCAGCCAUGCCGCGUGUAUGAAGAAGGCCUUCGGGUUGUAAAGUACUUUCAGCGGGGAGGAAGGCGGUGAGGUUAAUAACCUUACCGAUUGACGUUACCCGCAGAAGAAGCACCGGCUAACUCCGUGCCAGCAGCCGCGGUAAUACGGAGGGUGCAAGCGUUAAUCGGAAUUACUGGGCGUAAAGCGCACGCAGGCGGUCUGUUAAGUCAGAUGUGAAAUCCCCGGGCUUAACCUGGGAACUGCAUUUGAAACUGACAGGCUUGAGUCUUGUAGAGGGGGGUAGAAUUCCAGGUGUAGC